GACGAACCGUGCGAACGUUGUUCGGAUUCACUGGGCUUAAAGGGCGCGUAGGCGGGCGGUCAAGUCAGGGGUGAAAUCUUUCGGCUCAACCGGAAAAGUGCCUUUGAUACUGGCCGUCUCGAGGGAGGUAGGGGCAUGCGGAACUUCCGGUGGAGCGGUGAAAUGCGUAGAUAUCGGAAGGAACGCCGGUGGCGAAAGCGACACACUGGGUCUCAACUGACGCUGAGGCACGAAAGCCAGGGGAGCGAACGGG
rnacentral:rRNA from 1 species